rnacentral:rRNA from 1 species
GUAGGUGGCAAGCGUUGUCCGGAAUUAUUGGGCGUAAAGCGCGCGCAGGCGGUCCUUUAAGUCUGAUGUGAAAGCCCACGGCUCAACCGUGGAGGGUCAUUGGAAACUGGGGGACUUGAGUACAGAAGAGGAAAGCGGAAUUCCAAGUGUAGCGGUGAAAUGCGUAGAGAUUUGGAGGAACACCAGUGGCGAAGGCGGCUUUUCUGGUCUGUAACUGACGCUGAAACACAAAAGCGUGGGGAGCAAACAGGGAUUAGAUACCCUGGUAAUCCACACCGUAAACGAUGAGUGCUAAGUGUUAGGGGGUUUCCCGCCCCUUAGUGCUGCAGCUAACGCAUUAAGCACUCCGCCUGGGGAGUACGGCCGCAAGGCUG